CCCCCGCCAGCCAAGGGUAACUCUCUGGUGAAGGGGUUAGCAGUGAGCUGUUAGCAGCCAACACUUACAGUGGCUGAUGGAUGGACGCACCCGCCUGGUGAAGGGAAUCUUUGUGGAGCAUCAGAGUCUGCUGCAGUUGGAAAGGGAUACAAUAAAUAUUUCUAAAGUGAUGAAAUGUUAUAUAAGGCAAUCCCAAUUUGAAAUGCCUAGCAUGAAGCUGGGCUUCCCUAGUGGCUCAGAGUUACUAAAGUGUCCGCCUACAAUGUAGAAGACCCGGGUUUGAUCCCUGGGUCAGGAAGAUCCGCUGGAGAAGGAAAUGGCACUCCAUUACUCUUGCCUGGAAAAUUCCAUGGAUGGAGGAGCCUGGUAAGCUACAGUCCUCAAUUAUCCAUGGUUUACCCUGAUUACCCAUUCUUCACUAUCUUAUUGGUAGGGACAAUCUGGAGCUAAGUCAGCAGUUCAAGCAUGUACUUAAAGGAAGGUGCUGUGUCAUUCAGCUUCCUCCCUGAGAGUCACUAAGGGAAAGAAGAUUUAGUGAGAACCUGGGCCCCAAAAUCACUACAGAUGGUGACUGCAGCCAGGAAAUUAAAAGACGCUUACUCCUUGGAAGGAAAGUUAUGACCAACCUAGAUAGCAUAUUCAAAAGCAGAGACAUUACUUUGCCAACAAAGGUCCAUCUAGUCAAGGCUAUGGUUUUUCCUGUGGUCAUGUAUGGAUGUGAGAGUUGGACUGUGAAGAAGGCUGAGCACUGAAGAUUUGAUGCUUUUGAAGUGUGGUGUUGGAGAAGACUCUUGAGAGUCCCUUGGACUGCAAAGAGAUCCAACCAGUCCAUUCUGAAGGAGAUCAGCCCUGGGAUUUCUUUGGAAGGACUGAUGCUGAAGCUGAAACUCCAGUACUUUGGCCACAUCAUGUGAAGAACUGACUCAUUGGAAAAGACUCUGAUGCUGGGAGGGAUUGGGGGCAGGAGGAGAAGGGGACGACAGAGGAUGAGAUGGCUGGAUGGCAUCACUGACUCGAUGGAUGUG
rnacentral:lncRNA from 1 species